GAUGAACGCUGGCGGCGUGCUUAACACAUGCAAGUCGAACGAAGCGCCUUAUUUGAUUUUCUUCGGAACUGAAGAUUUGGUGACUGAGUGGCGGACGGGUGAGUAACGCGUGGGUAACCUGCCCUGUACAGGGGGAUAACAAUCAGAAAUGACUGCUAAUACCGCAUAAGACCACAGCACCGCAUGGUGCAGGGGUAAAAACUCCGGUGGUACAGGAUGGACCCGCGUCUGAUUAGCUGGUUGGUGAGGUAACGGCUCACCAAGGCGACGAUCAGUAGCCGGCUUGAGAGAGUGAACGGCCACAUUGGGACUGAGACACGGCCCAAACUCCUACGGGAGGCAGCAGUGGGGAAUAUUGCACAAUGGGGGGAACCCUGAUGCAGCGACGCCGCGUGAGUGAAGAAGUAUUUCGGUAUGUAAAGCUCUAUCAGCAGGGAAGAAAAUGACGGUACCUGACUAAGAAGCCCCGGCUA
rnacentral:rRNA from 1 species